rnacentral:lncRNA from 1 species
UUAAGGACUUCAUACCUUAAAGCUGACUUCAACAACGUUUAGCAAUGACAAAAAAAAAUGGAUAGUAAGCAAUUCAAAACUGAGUAUUUUUUAAAAAAACGCACAUAAAAUGUCGAAGGAGCGUCCCUAUAUAAAGCAGAUGAACUCGCCAUUCGUAAUGGCUACUCCAACCACAACUCGCUAGUGCUACUAGCAACUCCAACUACAGCGCAA